rnacentral:rRNA from 1 species
AACGAACGCUGGCGGCAUGCCUAACACAUGCAAGUCGAACGAGACCUUCGGGUCUAGUGGCGCACGGGUGCGUAACGCGUGGGAACCUGCCCUUAGGUUCGGAAUAACUCCCCGAAAGGGGUGCUAAUACCGGAUAAUGUCUUCGGACCAAAGAUUUAUCGCCUUUGGAUGGGCCCGCGUUGGAUUAGCUAGUUGGUAGGGUAAAAGCCUACCAAGGCGACGAUCCAUAGCUGGUCUGAGAGGAUGAUCAGCCACACUGGGACUGAGACACGGCCCAGACUUCUACGGGAGGCAGCAGUGGGGAAUAUUGGACAAUGGGCGAAAGCCUGAUCCAGCAAUGCCGCGUGAGUGAUGAAGGCCUUAGGGUUGUAAAGCUCUUUUACCCGGGAUGAUAAUGACAGUACCGGGAGAAUAAGCACCGGCUAACUCCGUG